GCCGAUCUGGCCAUGUGGUCUUUUAUUUCUUGAAGAUAAGUGCGUCUUACUUUUUUUAGGCAGGCAGAAAUUCCUUGUUACCAUUUUGUUGUUCUCUCUGAUCUUUCCAUUGCGUAACAAGCAUAUCUCACGUUCAUCUUGAUGAGAUGGUCAAGGAAAAGGAAAAAAAUUCAAGAAAAGUCAAGUCAUUUAGAAAGCAUGACUACAUGGAGAGAACUUUAAUGAACGUGCUGAAGAACUUUAAUGAAGCUUUAAUUAAGCAUGCUGCAGAACGACUUUGUGCAUGUAUUAUAGACUAGUCACCAAAAGAAACGACGCUUAAUACUGUAUCGAACGCUUUAAAAGCAACGUUUGGUGACAGUGUGAUACGAACCGUUGCCCUGAAAUCCAUAUUUAUGAAACAUUGGGCCAUUACUAGUUUCUUUGCUUAUGAUGUUCUUUUGUAAAGCACGUGUCUGAAUCACGGAUGUUGGAUGAGACGCCCUCCAUCCUCCAUCGGCCGGCGGGAUGGAAUAUCCGAAAACGUGGAGGAACGGAUGCACGUCUCGAGGGAUUUAAAUGUACCAUUUAGUAAUGGAUGUUACAUGUUCUUAACCAUUCCUUUUCGUGAUUUAAAGUGCCUGUUUUCCGUGUGUA